CCUGUCUCCCCGUUUGGCCUUAUUUUCACUUUUUAUUUUCUUCUCACUAGAUAUUGCCUUACUCGUCUCCCUUAUGCUUCAGAUUUGAGAUGGGGGUCCUAAACAUAUGUUUCUGCAUGCAGUUAUGUGAAACCAGUGGAAGCUCUCUCGGCUAUGGAUUUUCUCGAAUGAUGAGCAAACCCAAACCUCCGUCCUCAGACUCCACAGACGAUAACCAAUUCACUGAAGGAACUCUGGCAAUAUAAAAGAUGCCAGAUGAUUUUCUCGAAUGAUGAGCAAACCCAAACCUCCGUCCUCAGACUCCACAGACGAUAACCAAUUCACUGAAGGAACUCUGGCAAUAUAAAAGAUGCCAGAUGACACAGUAAAGGAUAAAAGGGAAACUGUAGAAACAGCUCAAGAACUGUAUAGCUGAUUACUUCUUCAAUUUUGUACCC
rnacentral:lncRNA from 1 species